ensembl:snRNA U6 U6 spliceosomal RNA
UUGCUUCAGCAGCAGAUACCCUCAAAUGGGAAUCAUGCACAGAAGAUUAGCAUGGCUCCUGCACAAGGAUAACACACAAAUUUCUGUAUCAUUUUCUACUUUU